AAGUUGGUGGGAGACUUGCGUCAUCUAUCCUGUUCCGUGACUCAGUUUAUCCUUUCAAGGGAGACUUCUUGAGGUGGCAAGCACCCUAAUGGCUCUUAACUGCUCAAACCAUGCUCACCAGAUUUGCAGCCAUUUUGGCUUCCGAGAUGCCCUUAGCAACAGCUUUCACCUCAUGCACAUAUUCCCAGACAUCAAACUUAUAAAGAUGCCUGUGUCUUAUGACAAAUGACAAAAAAAGACAGAGUCAAGAAAAAUAAUGACUAAUCUCUUGGAGGAAAAGGAUCAAUAACCAAUGAGUAUGCAAACCAAAUCCUAGAGUCGCUCAGUCAAAGAAGGUAGCUUCACUAAUAUUUUCUCCUGCUGCUCUAAAUUUAAAAAGGGAAAAAACUCACCAAUCUCACUUCCACUGGACCCUGAAGGCAGAGAUCUGGGAGACUGCUGUGAGAGCAAGUUCAUUACAAAUCUGCUGUGCGACUGAUGGCUUUGAAGAGAUAAGGCAGAGGGGUAAAACACAUUUGGGAAAGUAUUUAUAGAGUGGCUGAGUCAGGUCGGAGCCUCAAGCUGAUCGUGGUUGAUGCCGAGCGUCCCCAUGAAGCUGGUGUCCUGCGCUCAGCAGGUGCAUUAUUCAGAGCAGAACCUCCUCAGCAUGAGGUGAAGGCCAGAAAUGUGGAUGCUGUAGACGACGCAUCCUUAUUCCCUGAGACACAACAAUAUUGAAAUUAGGCCCAUUAAUAACCCUACAAUGGCCUCUAAGUGUUCAAGCGAAAGGAAUAGUUGCACGUUUCUGACUUUAAAUUAAAAGCUAGAAUGAUUAAGCUCAGUGACGAAGGCAUGUUGAAAGCUGAGAUAGGCUGAGAGCUGGGUCUCUUGAAUCAAACAAUUAGCCAAGUUGUGAAUGCAAAGGAAAAGUUCUUGAAGGAAAUUAACUGUGCUACUCCAGUGAACAGACAAAUGAUAAGAAAUUGAAACAGUCUUAUUGCUGUUAUGGAGAAAGUUUUAGUGGUUUCGAUAGAAGAUCAAAACAGCCGCAACAUUCCCUUAAGACAAAUCAUAAUCCAGAGCAAGGCUCUAACUUUCUUCAAUUCUAUGAAGACUGAGAGGGGGCAGGAAGCUGCAGAAGAAAAGUUUGAAGCAGCAGAGUUUCGUUCAUGAGGUUUAAGGAAAGAAGCCAACUUCAUAACAUAAAAGUGCAAGGGGAAGCAGCACAUGCUGAUGUAGAAGCCACAGCAAGUUACCCAGAAGAUCUAGCUAAGAUAACUCAUGAAGGUGCCUACACUAAACAGCAGAUUUUCAAUGUAGGUGAAACAACUUUAUGUUGGAAGAUGCCAUCUAGGACUUUCAUAGCUUGAGAGGAGAAGUUAACUCCUGGCUUCAAAACUUCAAAGGACAGGAUGACUCUCUUAAUAGGGUCUAGCACAGCUGGUGACUUUAAGUGGAAGCCAAUGCUCAUUUACCAUUCUGAAAAUCCUAGAUCCCUUAAGAAUUAUGCUAAAUCUACUCGGUCUGUGCUCUAUAAAAGGAACAACAGAGCCUGGAUGACAGCACAUCUGUUUACAACAUUAUUUACUGAAUAUUUUAAGCCCAUCAUUGAGAGCUACUACUUAGAAUAAAAGAUUCCUUUCAAAAUAUUACUGCUCAUCAACAAUGCACCUGGUCACUCAAGAACUCAGAGAUUGCUAGGAGAUGAAUGUUGUUGUCACACCUGCCAACACAACAUCCAUUGUGCAGCCCAUGGAUCAAGGGGGAAUUAAGAUUUAACUUUUCAAAUCUUAUUAUUUAAGAAACAUAAGACUAUGGCUGCCGUAGAUAGUGGUUCCUCUGAUAGAUCUGGGCAAAGUAAGUUGAAAAAUUUCUGGAGAGGAUUCAGCAUUCUAGAUGCUAUUAAGGACAUUUGUGAUUCAUGAGAAGAGGUCAAAGUAUCAAUAUUUACAGGAGUUUGGAAGAAGUUAAUUAAUUCCAGUCCUCGUGGGUCACUUUGAGGGGUUCGAGACUCCAGUGGAGGAAGUAACUGCAGAAGUGGUGGAAAUAGCAAGAGAACUUGAAUUGGUAGUGGAGCUGGCAGAGGCGACUCACUUGCUGCAAUCUCGUGAUAAAACUGUAACAGAUGAGGAGUUGUUUCUUAUGGAUGAGCAAAGAAAGUGGUUCCUUGAGAUGGAAGCUACUCCUGCUAAAGAUGCUAUGCAGAUUGUUGAAAUGACAACAAAAGAUUUAGAAUAUUCCAUAAACUUAGUAGAUAAAGCAGUGACAGGGUUUGAGAGGAUUGACUCCAAUUUUGAAAGAAGUCCUACUGUAAGAUGCCAUCAAACAGCAUCGCAUGCUGCAGAGAAAUUGUUUGCCAAAGGAAGAGUCAAUCGAUGCAGCAAACUUCAUUGCUAUCUUAUUCUAAGAAAUUGCCACAGUCACCACAAUCUUCAGCAACCACCAGCCUGAUCAGUGAGCAGCCAUCAACCUUGAGGCAAGAUCCUCCACCAACAAAAAGAUUAUGACUUGCUGAAGGCUCAGAUGAACAUUAUUUUAGCAACAAAAUAUAUAUAUAAAUAUAUAUUUUUUUUGAGGAAGAUUAGCCCUGAGCUAACUGCUGCCAAUCCUCCUCUUUUUGCUGAGGAAGACUGGCCCUGAGCUAACAUCUGUGCCCAUCUUCCUCUACUUUAUAUGUGGGACGCCUACCACAGCAUGGCUUUGCCAAACGGUGUUAUGUCCGCACCCCGGAUCUGAACCGGCGAACCCUGGGCCGCCGAAGCGGAACAUGCAAACUUAAGCGCUGCGCCACCAGGCCAGCCCCUCAAGAGUCUUUUUAAAAAAACAAACAAGCAAGCAUUAUUGGUAGAUAAAAGAGGCGCAUCAUCUACUCUUUGCUCUCAAAAAAUAUUUUUGGAAAUCUGCUGUCUUAGUUUGGUUUCACCAAGUUGCAAAACAGAUCCAGACACAAGGAUUCAAGUGCAAGUUGUUUAUUUGGGAUGUGGUCCCUGGAAAUGCUGAAUAUUGAAGUGAGGAAGUAGAACAGGCAAGGGAAGGCCAUGGAAAGCCAAGAAAACGUGUGUUACAAAGGAGGUUCUCAGUGAGAUAGAUUGCAAUUUAGUCCUGAUGGGGCUCUCUAGGAGCCAAAGUAUCAUGCGAGGCUUGGGGUCAUCCUACCUGGGGGAUGAAGGAGCUGUGGCAUUUUAUACCAACUCCUGUCAGUCCUUGGCCAAUGGCUGUUCCUGGGGACUUUCCUUUCCUGGUACUUCUACAGGCGGAGUGGGCUCUUAUGGCUAGAGAAGAGCAGAGACACUGGAAAUUGGAAAUCAGCCUGGUGACCUCAUCUGGAGUCAUGAACCUACAUUCCAUCUACAGACCCAUGACUCCAUCGUUUGGAUCUCUACCCUGGGUUCCGGCGCAUGUAGCCUGCUUCCUCCACUCCUUGAACUGAUGCCUCAAACCCAGCAUGUCCAAAGCGGAGCUCUGAGUCCAUCCACAACCUGUCAUCCGCAUCUCAGUUCACAGCCCCAGCAGUGAGUACUCAGACCCAAAACCUUGGAGAAAUAUUUGACUCAUUUUUAUCUCUCAUGUUCCUCAUCUAAUUUAUUAAUAACUCUAAUUGGCUCUAUCUUUACAAUAUAAAUAUGUACACACAGAAUCUGACCAUGUCUCAACAUCUACUGUGCUAACACCCAGACUAAGCCUCAAUCUUCUCUCACCUGGACUGAAAUAUGCCACUGACAAGACUUCCCUGCUUCCAGUCAAUUCUCCAAACACCAGUUGUAGUGAUGGUUGACAGUGUAAAUUAGGUAAUUUCAUACCCUUAUGCAAAACUCGUCAAUGGUCUCCAUCACACUCAGAAUGAAAUCUAAGCACUAUGUGCUACAACGCUAUAUGCCAGCAAAUAGCUGUCUAUUUCUCAUGCUCACCUCCUUCCAUUCUCCUCACUUGUUCCUCUGCACACGGACCUUCAUGCUUUCCAGGUGUAAGCCAAGCCCAUUCCUGCCUUGGACCAGGGGAGUGCAGGGUGGGGUUUCCCAGAAAGGCAAACAGGGUGCCGUUGGAGGCCUCAGGGUGUGCUUUGUGGCUUCAGGUGGGUGGGGGGAAGUUAGUGAGGAUCCAGCUGGAGGGUCAGGGAGAAGAUGGGACUGUGAUGCACUGAGCAUCAGGAACAGCUCAGAGGAUGGUGGCAUCAGGCCCC
rnacentral:lncRNA from 1 species